AUUGAACGCUGGCGGCAGGCUUAACACAUGCAAGUCGAACGCGUGGCGGACGGGUGAGUAAUGCUUGGGAAUCUGCCUUAUGGAGGGGGAUAACUACUGGAAACUGUAGCUCAUACCGCGUACCAUAAGAUGAGCCCAGGUGUGAUUAGGUAGUUGGUGAGGUAAGGGCUAACCAAGCCGACGAUCCCUAGCUGGUCUGAGAGGAUGACAAGCCACACUGGGACUGAGACACGGCCCAGACUCCUACGGGAGGCAGCAGUGGGGAAUAUUGCACAAUGGGCGCAAGCCUGAUGCAGCCAUGCCGCGUGUAUGAAGAAGGCCUUAGGGUUGUAAAGCACUUUCAGCGGGGAGGCGUUACUCGCAGAAGAAGCACCGGCUAACUCCGUGCCAGCAGCCGCGGUAAUAC
rnacentral:rRNA from 1 species